CCCUACGGGACGCAGCAGUGGGGGAUAUUGCACAAUGGGGGAAACCCUGAUGCAGCGACGCCGCGUGUGGGAAGACGGUCCUCUGGAUUGUAAACCACUGUCCCCAGGGACGAAGAUGACGGUACCUGGGGAGGAAGCUCCGGCUAACUACGUGCCAGCAGCCGCGGUAAUACGUAGGGAGCGAGCGUUGUCCGGAAUUACUGGGUGUAAAGGGAGCGUAGGCGGGACCGCAAGUUGGGUGUCAAAUCUACCGGCUCAACCGGUAGCCGCACUCAAAACUGCAGUUCCUGAGGGA
rnacentral:rRNA from 1 species